CACUCCUACGGGGGGCAGCAGUGAGGAAUAUUGGUCAAUGGACGAGAGUCUGAACCAGCCAAGUAGCGUGAAGGAUGACUGCCCUAUGGGUUGUAAACUUCUUUUAUAUGGGAAUAAAGUUUUCCACGUGUGGAAUUUUGUAUGUACCAUAUGAAUAAGGAUCGGCUAACUCCGUGCCAGCAGCCGCGGUAAUACGGAGGAUCCGAGCGUUAUCCGGAUUUAUUGGGUUUAAAGGGAGCGUAGGUGGAUUGUUAUGUCAGUUGUGAAAGUUUGCGGCUCAAUCGUAAAAUAGCAGUUUAAACUGG
rnacentral:rRNA from 1 species